CCCUAGUUGAAGAGAAUAAAAUUGGCGCAAAACACAUGUAUCAGGAAUAGCAUUAGGGGAAGCCACUCUUUCAUGCAUCAUAAAUAUCUUGUGGCUGUGAGAGUGCGCUGAUGAAAUGCAAUAAACUGAUUUUGGCAACCAACAUCUGAGAUGCUGUGUGAUGCGAUUGGUCCGCUGGUUAGUCCAGUUAUCCAAUCACAUCCUCCGUUGCGCAUCAAGGGAUUUAUUCAGUAAAUGUGUUUUCAUUGUAGUUUAUACGCAUGUCGUCUUGUCGGAUAAAAUGCAUUUUUUUUUUAAGAAUUUAUGCACAACUUGGAUAAAUAAAUAACCUCAGAUUCAUAUAGGCUAAAACAGGUGGAUGGAAACAUAGCUAUUGUCAAAGUAACAAGCAUUCCUGUGACCACAACUAAUUUUGAAUGUUUUUGAUAGACUAACUGCCUUUGUUGGUAUUUACUUUUCAGUACCUUCGACUGUCAGAAACCUAAGAUCAGCAGACAAUGACAGCACAGUCAUAAUGGCCUUUUGGGAUCCGCCUACUGGCAAUCAUUCAGCUUACCGCUAUUGUCUUAAAGAAGUCAAACACAGCCACAAUUGCACUUACUGCAACAUCAUAUCAGACAGCAGCAUUACAACAAACGACAACAUUACCACAAACAGCAGCAGUACGACAGCAAAAUUCAAUAUUACAGACUGCAAAACAGUGGAUGGAACAGAAACAUUUAUCAGAGAGACUAAUACAUCAGACGGCAGCAAGUUUUGUCUGUGUGUGGCAGCGCUAACAAAGAACAACAACCUGUCAGGAGAAGUGGUUGUAAUCUCAACAUACACACGCCCCAAAACUGUGAUCCUCUCUUUGAGCCCUGACUUAAAAUCCAUGAAUGCCAACUGGACAAUAGGAGGGAAUUAUGAACAAUUUGAAGUGAUGAUUACAACAGAUGCAUACCUUGACAAUUAUCCCCGGCGAGAUAACACUAAAAUCAGUAGUUACACUUUCAAUAAUCUGAAGGCAGGAGUGUUUUACACCGUUUCAGUU
rnacentral:lncRNA from 1 species